AUACUCCUACGGGAGGCAGCAGUGGGGAAUAUUGGACAAUGGGGGCAACCCUGAUCCAGCAAUAUCGCGUGAGUGAAGAAGGUCUUCGGAUUGUAAAGCACUUUCGACGGGGACGAUGAUGACGGUACCCGUAGAAGAAGCCCCGGCUAACUUCCUGCCAGCAGCCGCGGUAAUAC
rnacentral:rRNA from 1 species